rnacentral:rRNA from 1 species
GCCGAUGUAAGGUGAAACCGCGGACGGCUCAUUAAAUCAGAUAUAAUUCAUUGGAUCUGUACAAGCCGCCUUGCCGAAUACUUGGAUAACUGUGGCAAUUCUAGAGCUAAUACAUGCCUUCAGAGUCUCUGACAGCAAUGGAAGAGCGCUUUUAUUAGUACAAAACCUUUCGGACCUUGGGCCAAACCCAUUCCUUGGUGACUCUAGAUAACCUCCGCUGAGCGCACGACGCUCCCCCUUCUCGGGGGAGUCGGCGCCGCAUCCUGCAAGUGUCUGCCUUAUCAGCUGUCGAUUGUAGGUCAAACGCCUACAAUGGCUAUAACGGGUAACGGGGAAUCAGGGUUCGAUUCCGGAGAGGGAGCCUGAKAAACGGCUACCACA